AUCCAGCUGACGAGUCCGAAAUAGGACGAAACACGCUUCCUUGAU
rnacentral:hammerhead_ribozyme from 1 species